rnacentral:lncRNA from 1 species
GUUAUCUAACGAUCGGGUCCUAGCCGGCGUAGCGAUUGGAUCGCCCUGGUUAGGAUUGUGUACACACAAAGGGGUAUUGUGGGCUGCUCCCACUUGCCUCAGACUGUCAGACUUGGGUUGCUCCCAUUUCUGAAACAUGCAUGGUAGUGGACCUCUGUGGGCUGCUCCCACAUGUUCACAUUAUAGGUGAAGCACCAAUAGAGAGAAGACUGGAAAUGGAUCCACAAAUUUAUUUUAAGUAUGCAUGGAAUGCUUUCAAAUAUUUCUAUGUUAUACUGUUCAUAGCAUGGAUUAUUCUUUUAAAUGGAUUUUCAAAUGUUUUCAAAUGGCUAAACUCACUGAGUAUAUUAGUACUCAGCCCUGCAAUUGUUUUCAAAACCUUUUGCAGGUUGAGCGGCAGGUGGUGUCGUGCGAGGCUGAGGGAGGAUGUUGCUGUAGUUUCGUAUAAUAAUUUCCGCUGCCAUAAUAUUCACUUAGGUGGAUAUCUUUUGAGAAUGACUCUUUAAAUAUUCUUAGCCUAAUUAUUAUGAACUCUUUUGGCAAUCGCAUUACUAGCAAUUGAACCUUGCUUAUAUGUACAUCUAGUAUGAAGUGUUAUCUUGUUGUCUCAGACCUCCGAACUUUUGAUCCUGGUUGGGAAAAUUUCUAUCCUAAUUGUUGUAUUUAUUAUCCUUCAAUUGCGGCACUCCUUUAUUAACAAUGUAUUACCCGAAUCUAAGAACAUAUCACCC